rnacentral:rRNA from 1 species
AAGUCUGGUGCCAGCAGCCGCGGUAAUUCCAGCUCCAAUAGCGUAUAUUAAAAUUGUUGCGUCUAAAAAGCUCGUAGUUUGAAAACUUGCCUUGGCUUACAAUUGGUCCGUAUGGGCCGCCGUUUGUUGAGCGCAAAUAUAGAUGACUGUUUUUGCCGACUUAGUUGUUGGGCUUACAAGAGUUAUCAAAUAUCACUUUGAUUAAAUUAGAGUGCUUAAAGCAAGUGUGUUACUUGGAUAUAAAUGCAUGGAAUGAUGGAAUAUGUUGUUGUUCUAUUUGUUGGUUUUGGAACGAUGAAAUGAUUGAAAGGAACUGUUGGGGGCAUUCGUAUUGUUGUGAGAGAGGUGAAAUUCUUAGACCACAGCAAGACGAACUACUGCGAAAGCAUUUGCCAAGAAUGUUUUCAUUGAUCAAGAACGAAAGUUAGAGGUUCGAAGGCGAUCAGAUACCGCCCUAGUUCUAACCAUAA